rnacentral:rRNA from 1 species
UACGUAGGCUGUUGAGUAAGUCAGAUGUGAAAGCCCCGGGCUCAACCUGGGAACUGCAUUUGAUACUGCUUGACUAGAGUCUGGUAGAGGGUAGUGGAAUUCCACGUGUAGCGGUGAAAUGCGUAGAUAUGUGGAGGAACAUCAGUGGCGAAGGCGGCUGCCUGGACCAAGACUGACGCUGAGGUACGAAAGCGUGGGGAGCAAACA